GAUGAACGCUAGCGGGAGGCUUAACACAUGCAAGUCGAGGGGCAGCAUAGGGUAGCAAUACUCUGAUGGCGACCGGCAAACGGGUGAGUAACGCGUAUGCAACCUACCCUGUACAGGGGGAUAACCCGGAGAAAUUCGGACUAAUAUCCCGUAAUAAUAUCCGGAGGCAUCUUUGGAUAUUUAAAGUUCCGACGGUACGGGAUGGGCAUGCGUAACAUUAACUGGUUGGUAAGGUAACGGCUUACCAAGGCUAUGAUGUUUAGGGGUCCUGAGAGGGUGGUCCCCCACACUGGUACUGAGACACGGACCAGACUCCUACGGGAGGCAGCAGUGAGGAAUAUUGGUCAAUGGGCGCAAGCCUGAACCAGCCAUCCCGCGUGCAGGAAGACGGCCCUAUGGGUUGUAAACUGCUUUUCCAGGGAGAGAAACUUACGCACGUGUUGCGUGACUGACGGUACCCUGGGAAUAAGCAUCGGCUAACUCCGUGCCAGCAGCCGCGGUAAUCAUA
rnacentral:rRNA from 1 species